GAACACCGUUACAAAUUUUCAGCGAUAGAGGAACCAACUUCAUCGGCGCUAGUCGUGAGCUACAAGAAGCGCUGCAGAAAAUCGACCACGAGAAACUAUUCAGCGAAUUUGUAUCGUCAGAACUAAAAUGGUCGUUUAAUCCGCCAAACUCUCCACAUUUUGGAGGCUGUUGGGAGAGAUUAGUACAAUCCGUUAAAAAAAUUCUCAACCAGAUGCAUCUUCCACGUCAUCCUACAGAUGAAGUCCUGAGAAAUACACUGGUGGAAAUUGAGAACACCGUAAAUUCUAGACCGCUCACAUAUAUUCCUAUCGAUGAUGAGUCCGCACCGGCUCUAACACCGAACCAUUUUUUAGUUGGUUCUUCCAGUGGCUGCAAACCUCUGGUCAUUUUUGACGACAAGCCCGCAACGUUACGCAAUAAUUGGAAAACUUCACAGAUUUACGCAAACCAUUUUUGGCAAAGAUGGGUUCGCGAAUACCUGCCAACAAUUUGUCGUCGAACUAAGUGGCACCAACCAGUGAGACCAAUCCAAGUAGGUGAUAUUGUUGUCAUUGUUGAUCCGGACUUACCACGAAACAUGUGGCCCAAAGGUCGAAUUGUUGCGACUAAGAACAAGGACGGCCAAGUUCGAAGAGCAACGGUGCAAACCAUGCACGGUAUCUACGAGCGUCCAGCCGUUAAGCUGGCAGUUCUAGACCUCGGAGCAAAUGAGAGUAAGCAGGAUACGACAUCCAGCGUACUGGGGGGAGUGUUACGCCCUUUGGGGAAAGCUCCUCAUUCUUUGCCAGCGUUACGGACACACCCGAGGCCAACAAGAGGAUUGUGACUGAUUGACAGCUGAAGGACUGCUAACACGCGAGACAGGAUCAUUAUUCUUCAUUCUACAACAAAGGUGUAUCAAAUUUAAAGCUAUCUAAAAUUUAUUAUUUUCUACUUAAAACUACACUUAAAGCUAAUGUGAAUUUCUACCAAUGGAUUGAGUUGAAGAUUAUUUUCACGGGCUUGAUAACUAAUACUAAAUCAAACUCGUUAAACUAUCAGUAUUGCUGAUUAAAAUAAGGAGCUACUCCUGCAGAUCGAAAUCCGGAUAAGCGAGAACGUUGAAUACUAAACGAAAAAUUUAACAACGCCUGCUGGAAAUAUAAUUGUUAAAAUUUCGGAAAACUUGUUAUUGAUCUAUUCAUAACAAACGGUAUUGAGUGAAUUGAGUCCGUGCAACGACGCUUUUUACGUUUUGAUUAGCUUGGAACCCCUGCUUGUUCGAUGGAAUACAGCAAGGGCUUUGUUUGAUGCUGAUACUUUGUGAGGUCAUCUGGAUUGCUCAGCCACCUUGGAACAAAUUAACAUAAAUGUAGCACCUCGAACAACACGUAACAACCUCAUGCUCCGAUUGCCAUUUCGACGCACUAAUUAUGCACGGGGCCAUUACGGGCCUACAAAGGAUCGUCAACCGAGUCGCAUCAGCUUUCGACUUUAAUUUGCCUCGCCCAACGCCAAUGAUUUUACCUAGCCUUCAAAGGACCCAUUAAU